ACAACCAAACUUGGAUGUUUGAAAUGACAACUGGAAUUUAUCAGUUUUGUCUCUUUCUUUUCAGCUUCCUAGAAUCCUUUUUCUUUUUUCAAGGUAAACGUCAUUUGCUAUGUGGCUUCUGUUUGAUUUUCAGUUCAAAGAGUGGCAGAGUAGAGAAGAACCUAGGAGGCAUGGCAUAGACUGGCUGCAGCAAUGGAGAUGGUAGAUGGUCUCUCAAGGGAAUGACAGCCCUUGUAACGGGAGGAACUACUAACUAGAGGAAUCGGGCAUGCUAUUGUGGAAGAACUGGCUGGGUUAGGUGCAAGAAUACACACAUGUUUUCGAACAGAAACUGAGCUUAAUGAAUACUUGAGGGAUUGGGAGGGUAAAGGUUUUGAAGUCACUGGCUCAGUCUGUGAUGUAUCCUCUAGGGCCCAAAGAGAGAAGCUAAUAGAGACAGUACCUUCUAAGUUUAAUGGGAAGCUGAAUAUCCUUGUUAGUUCCUCUAGUUUGUUAAAUGUGACACAUCCAUUUUAGAAUCAUUUUCACUAAAUAUAAUUGAUGAGUUACCCUAACUGAAUCUUUGAAUUUGGAUCAACAACGCUGGAACUGGCAAACCGGGACGGUCAGUGGAGUUCACAGCUGAAGAGUUCUCAACGGUCAUGGCUGUAAAUUUUGAAUCUGUGUACCAUCUAUGCCAACUUGCGCAUCCCCUUCUGAAGACCUCAGGAGCAGGAAGUAUUGUGCUCAUGUCUUCUGUUUCAGGUGUAGUAUCACUCAAGUAUCUGUCUGCCUAUGGAGCAACCAAAGGGCACUGAAUCAGCUUGCAAAGAACUUGGCAUGCGAGUGGGCGCAAGACAACAUCAGGACUAAUUCUGUUGCCCCUUGGUACAUCAAAACUUCUCUGGUAGAACCUUGAGAAAAGCUUUACGGAAGAGGUAAUAAGAACAACUUCGCUUGGUCGAGUGGGGGAUCCAAAGGAGGUGUCAUCCUUGGUAGCAUUCCUCUGCCUACCAGCAUUGUUGUUACCUCGCGUCUUUGGCGAUCC